rnacentral:rRNA from 1 species
GACGAACGCUGGCGGCGUGCUUAACACAUGCAAGUCGAACGAUGAAGCCGGAGCUUGCUCUGGUGAAUUAGUGGCGAACGGGUGAGUAACACGUGAGUAACCUGCCCUUGACUCUGGGAUAACUGCGGGAAACUGUAGCUAAUACCGGAUACGACCCUCGGAGGCAUCUCCUGGGGGUGGAAAGAAUUUCGGUCAAGGAUGGACGCACGGCCUAUCAGCUAGUUGGUGAGGUAAAGGCUCACCAAGGCGACGACGGGUAGCCGGCCUGCGAGGGUGACCGGCCACACUGGGACUGAGACACGGCCCACACUCCUUCGGGGGGCAGCAGUGGGGAAUAUUGCACGAUGGGCGCAAGCCUGAUGGAGCAACGCCGCGUGAGGGAUGACGGCCUUCGGGUUGUAAACCUCUUUUAGCAGGGAAGGAGCGAAAGUGACGGUACCUGCAGAAAAAGCACCGGCUAACUACGUGCCAGCCGCCGCCGUAA